UAUAUAUGUAUAAAUAUAUUAUAUGCGCACAUGUGUAUAUUAUAUAUGUGCAUACAUAUGUAUACAUUAUACACACAGACACACACAGAGGCACACAGACACACACACACAUAUAUGUAUGUAUGUAUGUAUGUGUAUACACACAGACACACACACACACAUAUAUUUCUCAUAGUUUUAAUCUGUUCAUCUGUUGUUGAUGGCCACCUAGUUUAAUUUUAUAACUUACCUAAUGCAAUUAACAUUACAAUGAGCCCAGGCUUAUAGGUGUGUCUUUUCUAUGGUAACUUCUGAUACUGACUUAAGGAACAUAUGUAGUUUUCUAUUUCUUUUGUCCAAGUUUUAAAACUAAAGCUAAUUUAAAAAAUGUUAUUUAUUAUAAUUGUGUAUGUGAGUAUGUGAGUAUGUGUAUGGGGCAUAUGAUGUAUGGAGGGACAUGGGUGUUCCAGUAUGUGUGACGUGUGUGGAAGUCAGAGAACAAGUUUUGAUAGUCAGUUCUCUCCUUCCACUGUGGGUUUCUGGGAUCAAAGUCAGACCAUCUGGCUGUGUAGCAAGUGCUUUGUCCACUGAGUCAUCUUGCUUGUUCAUGAACACAAUUUCAAGAGCUUGUCUGCUGACUAUAGGUUUAUCAUGUAUAGUCUUUAUUGUGUUGAGAUGGAUUUCUUCUGUUUCUCCUCCAUUCAGGAAUUUUAACUGAUGGGUUGUUGGAUUAUUUCCUCAUGGACUUAAGAAUGAUUACUUUAUUAAUAUGCAGGAAAUCAUUUGUCCAUAUGUAGGAAAUCUGGAAGUUGGUCCACUUUCAUUUGAAGGGCAUGAACACAAUAGGACCUCC
rnacentral:lncRNA from 1 species